rnacentral:lncRNA from 1 species
AAGCGGUGGUUGCAGGUAGGGCUGAGGAAUUGGGGCCGAUAGUUCUAUCUAUCCCGGUGAGUGAGGAGACCUGCUUUGGGGGUUGCACAGUCUGGGUCUGCCCUUGCAGUGGUAUCUGUCUCUGUGAAGACUCCACCACGGGUCGCCAUCAGGUCAGAGACCCUGACAAGACGCAAAAACCAAGGCCAAACAGCUGAGUUUUCUGCCCUGGAGGAGGAAAGUGGUCUCUGAAAGCCAGAAGACUCUCACAUUACAUAAUUCCUGCCAGCUGCUGUCAAGAGCUGCUAAGCUGUCCUCAAGUCCUGUGUCUGAUGUCAAGCUAAUAACAGAUUUAGGGUGCAUUAGUAAAGGUAUCUUAAUCAAGUCUAGAUGCCUUCGAGAUUAGACUCAGCCAUGAUGAGCAGCUAAGGAUUAGCAAGAAAGAUUACAAAUUGUUUCCAGGAAUUUAUUUCUUUCAACACUGAUUAUAUGUAUAGUCUUAAGUCAAAUUAAAAUGUUGUUUAUGUUCA